rfam:Pseudomonas tuomuerensis strain JCM 14085 PT85_3, whole genome shotgun sequence.
UUGACUAUCAAAUGAUAAUCGUUAUUAUUAGCUUCAACUGAUCGCGAGAUCAGCCGGUAAGCUGCAAGAGCAGUUGGCCCCAAUCGGGCGGCGGUUCUUCAGACUAUCUCCUCAUCAGGCUAAUCACGGUUUUAGACCCGGCACCCGCCGGGUCUUUUUUUG